AUGAAGAGGCUGCUCGUUCAUGGCGGGAGGGCAAUCGGCUGCCCCUCCAGGAUCGCGGUGGGAGACCCCUCUGUCCUGCCCGCACUUGGCAACAGCGUUCUACUGCCCAGGCACUAUCAUUCGACCGAGAAACACGAUGAUAGUGACACGCUGUCCAAAAUCGGAGAGAAGGCAAGGACGACGGCCGAGGAGUUCCUGAAGAUGGCCAAGGAGAAGACCGAUGACGUCACCGAGGGCGCAAAGGAGACGGUGUAGGAGACCAAGGAGGCGGUGCUCGGCGAGUCCGACGAUGACAAGGACAAGUUCAAGUAGCGGGUCAAGCAGGAGAGGUACGAUCAGAAAGUAAGUGAGAGGGAGGUGUUCGCUUGGUGUAUGUUCGCGCGCAGUCAUGGCCUGCCCAAAGCCAUUAGCUCUGCAGUUUGUAUGUCAACCACUAGGCUUGGUAUCUGUAUGUGUAAUGUGAUCUUGGUACUAUAA
rnacentral:rRNA from 1 species